UUUCCGUAGGUGAACCUGCGGAAGGAUCAUUAUUGAAUAUGCUUGAUAGGUUGUAGCUGGCUCUUCGGAGUAUGUGCACGCUUAUCUUGACUUAAUUCAUCCACCUGUGCACCUUUUGUAGUCUUGGGGGUUGAGAUCGGUCGGCUAUCGGAUGGCCAAGGUCAUUCCGGAUGUGAGGAAUGCUGAGUGCGAAAGCAUACAGCUCUUCUCGAAUGACUUGUCUUCCUCGAGUACUAUGUAUUCAUAUACCACAUAGUAUGUUGUAGAAUGUGAUCAAUGGGUCUAUGUACCUAUAAUAAUUAUAUACAACUUUCAGCAACGGAUCUCUUGGCUCUC
rnacentral:misc_RNA from 1 species